GUCUUUGGAAGUCAUUGCUGGGCUGGAAAGCAACAGCAAGAUCUUCACUAUCUAUGUCCAUGGGUUACUGCAGCUGCAGGCUGGGCAAUACACCUCCAUCUUCGUGGACAACAGCGCCGGAGCUCCCGUCACCAUCCAGAACGGAUCCGACUUCAUGGGAAUGCUGAUGGGAGCGUAGCAGGGAAGGGGAGGAUGGGAACCACAUCCCUGGGAAGGGAAGGAUGGGAACCACACCCCUGCAGUGUAGAUUGGACUGAGGAAAACCCUGCUCUGACCUCAAAAACUGCUCCCUGGGACCGUGGCAUCCUUCCAAACAAGCCAAGAGCCCUUUUUCCCUUCACAGCCCCCCCUCGGCUUUGCUUUCAGAGGCUGCUGCUUCUCCAGGUCCACACCGGGUCAUUUGUCACCCAAAACGUGCUUUUGUCCCUCUGA